AGUGAACGCUGGCGGUAGGCCUAACACAUGCAAGUCGAACGGCAGCACAGUAAGAGCUUGCUCUUACGGGUGGCGAGUGGCGGACGGGUGAGGAAUACAUCGGAAUCUACUUUUUCGUGGGGGAUAACGUAGGGAAACUUACGCUAAUACCGCAUACGACCUACGGGUGAAAGCAGGGGAUCUUCGGACCUUGCGCGAUUGAAUGAGCCGAUGUCGGAUUAGCUAGUUGGCGGGGUAAAGGCCCACCAAGGCGACGAUCCGUAGCUGGUCUGAGAGGAUGAUCAGCCACACUGGAACUGAGACACGGUCCAGACUCCUGCGGGAGGCAGCAGUGGGGAAUAUUGGACAAUGGGCGCAAGCCUGAUCCAGCCAUACCGCGUGGGUGAAGAAGGCCUUCGGGUUGUAAAGCCCUUUUGUUGGGAAAGAAAAGCAGCAGGUUAAUACCCCGCCGUUCUGACGGUACCCAAAGAAUAAGCACCGGCUAACUUCGUG
rnacentral:rRNA from 1 species